AUGGCUGAAUGGAGUGCCUGUUUCGACUGGGAUGUGGCGGCCUCGGCGGCCGAGAACCACUACACGAGCUCCGGGCAUGGCGGUAUUGGACAACACUUCGUCCAUAAUGAUGGUGGUGCUCCAGCCGGGGUGGUCAUCACCCCGGGAGCCAGAUCAAGAGCUUUUGGUGGCAUCAACGAGAUGGAUCCCACCAGCUUCCCUGGCUACGGGAGCAGCGACGCUCCUAUGGCAAUCGCGGCGCCUGCUCGGGGGCCGUUGUGUGCCAGAUCCAGCGGUCAGCGGCUGAGACAGUUCAAAGGGUCAUGGACCGUGGAGGAAGACACGCUGCUGAGGGCGAAGGUGCAUGAGUUCGGCAUAGGGAAUUGGAAGAAUAUCGCGAUGUACCUCCCUGGCCGGAGCGGAAAGCAGUGUCGGGAGAGAUGGACCAACCAACUUGACCCCAACAUUAAGACGAAAAUCUGGACCGAUGCGGAAGACAUGAAGCUGAUUGAGUUGCAUCAGACCUGGGGGAACCAUUGGUCGGUGAUCGCCCGGCUACUCUCUGGCCGGCCGGCGAACACCAUCAAGAACCACUACAAUGCCACCAAGCGCAGUCUGAACUCGAAGCGCCAACUCAAGAAGAGGAACAGCGAGCAGCCACCACCUAGCCAGCUCUCCCGUCUUGCGAAGUACAUCCGUAGCCUGGAGCCACACACCGGAUCACCCACGGAGACACCUCCGGUGUCACCGUUGUAUCAUGACCAAGAGCACGGUGGGCGGAUGGGGAUGGCCGACAGAGACACUGCUGUCAUCAUCACCCCUACCAUGCAGGCGCACCAGACCUACCCCAAUCCGGCCAUGACUGGUAUGUACUACCACCCAAACCCGACCAACAUGCAGUAUUGGGCGCCAGAUUUGAAUCUCGCCGAUGGGCAAAACGAGGGGUACUCAUACUACAUCCCUCCCAACGGGCACCUAAACCACCACCUGUCCUACGGUUUGUCGCCGGCGCAGAUGGUUUGUGAGCAAGACAUCCAACAGGUUCCCGAUGGGAGCAUGAGCAUGUCCGUGUUCACCAGACAACAUACCCUCCCGGCAAGCAACCUGAAGGCGGUGGCAGAGAUGCACCGUCAUUCCUUUGCCAAUAACCAACUUGGCAACAUGGGUGGUGGAGCUGGCAAUUGGUCCUACUACUACGGCAUGGACGUGGCUGGUCCGAGCAACCCUGCUGGAGGUAGUGGUAGCGGUAACGACCCUGAUGACAUCGAUGUGGUGCAGAUGGCCUCGAGGGAGUUUGCCCCGCAGGACCGGGAGGUGGUCACCCUCAAUUGA
rnacentral:rRNA from 1 species